CGCGACGCUAUAGCCGCAGUUCGGCACGAGCGUCGCCGGCGCUCACAGCGACCGACGCCCGGCGUCGUCGUCGUUUAUAUCGCCGUCGCGUCUUCGGCGCGACACGAAGAAGAAAAUUGCGUUGUUUAACUCUUAGAUAAACCAGUACUAACAAAGAAUUUAGAGUUAUGGCUUGAUACUUAUAUGGUUAAAAUGCAUAAGGGCUCCAACUGCAAAACGCUUUCAAAUGAAGACAAACUAUUUUUAAAGAAUUAACAUUGUCGUCGGGAAAGUCCAGCAAAUAUUUGGGGUAGCUGAUUCUAAUGACCUGGGGAACCACUUAUUCCAAAAACCAUCUACAUGUCCUAGGAAUGUCAUCUGGAAUUUUCCGAUAAACUAGUUGUCUCCAAUUUUCCAAAAUUUAACAAUGUGUCGAGUUAAAUUUCGGAAAAACAACUCAAAAAUAGAUUGUUUUCAACAAACAAAAAAGAUCUCUUUGCAUAUAAUAAUGUUUUAACGAAUUUGUGAUUAUUUCUGUAUAUAUGAAGGAAUAAGUUUGUAGAAUAUUAGAAAAUUACACCAGUUAAAACAUUAUUAUUAUUAUUACUUUUGCAAUUUGAUCCUUUAUGUAUGAACAAACUUAGUUUAAACGCUUUUAUACUAACAAAAACUAAAUAACAGUUUUAGUUGGCUUUAAUACUUAUUAUAAAGAAAACUAUAUUGUAAAAAAUUGAACCCUCUGAUUAAAGAAUUUUUGUAUGUAUAGUCGGUUUAUACUAAAAGAUAAACAUAUUCUUAGAGUUAAACAUAAAUAAAAUACAUAUUUUGGAAAUACAAUAAAUACGUAUUGGAAAGAAAAAUUAUAUUAAUAGAAAUUUUUGCAUGAAAUUUUAUAUACAAAACUAUACACGAAUUUUUCGUAGAGAAUUCCUAUAAUAGCCUAAGAAAUUUUACAUCAAAACACAUGACAUUAUUUUUAGUGAAAAUUGAGCUUGUGCAUAUUUAUUUGCAGGAUAAAUAUGAACAAUAACAAUUAACAAGAAGAAUAAUCAUGUUUUUUGACAUAAAAUAACUUUUAAAUUAUAUAAACAGAUGAACGUAAAGUAUAUUAGUCCGUCUCAAUAUACCCAGGGAUCACUGAAAUAUAGUUGUCUAAGUAGAUAGGAUCCUCCUGGUUAAAAAAAACUAUAAAGGUGCAUUAAAGUUAUGAAAAGUACUUAGCAAUAACUUAAUGUAGAAAGUUGUACUUUAAACUUAUACCGUUGUAUUUUUGUUUUGCAAAUAAUCUCCUAUACAAAAGCCUCCUGGUUUUUUAUUAAGAGAAAUAACAGAAAAAAUGUAUUUUGAGACUACCAAAAUAAAAUAUUUUUUUGACAAAAUGGUGAAGGUAAAUAUUUUUUUUUAAAUUACCGAAAAAUAUAGUUUAAAAUUUAGUAUUGACAAUUUCUACUUAUUAUAAUGAAAAAGCUUUAUUCUCUUAAUAGAACAUUGGUAGUGUUUGACGCAAACUAUUUGGCUAGUGAUAAACAUAUAUAAAGUUAAAGAAAACCAAUGUAGUUUAGAUACUAGUACUUUUUGUCCCUCUAUACAAGGGAUUUUGAAGACCGAAUAUCCUUACUUAUAUUUAGAAAUAGUGGCCUUUCUACUAAUAAUAAUAAACGAACGUAUUCCGCAUGGAUACUUGCGAAAAGAAUAUUUGAAAGAAAAAAGUUACUAGUGUUUUCUGAACCUUUUUUGCUACAGUAAUUUUAAAGCCCGAGCUGUACUUAUAACAAUAUUUACUUGGCAGUCGAAGUAAUAAAAUAUUUAAAAUA